AUGAUAACGAAGAGGAUGAGACUCCUUCAAACCAUAAGGUGAAUAUGCAACCCGGUAUCACCCCAAAUUAGAUAGUGGAUGAUUCACACUCAACUGCAAAGCAAUGAAAGAACACAUCUGUCACUAAAUUGAACCCAGUCACCUUGGAUUAUGCCCAAAAGUGUGAGAAUUACAAGAAACUCACCAGAACUGUGAUGGACUCCAUUUCCACUUUAGAAAAAAUGACAACCUGCUCCGUCACAGGGAAAAAAGGGACCACUGGUGAACAAAGACAGAGUCCUGACAGAGAAAGUGAAGCUAGUAAUAGGGAGCCUGCUGGAAGAGAAUCUGAGGACUGAUGCACAUAUAACAAUGGACAUGCAUAAAGACACAUCUCUCUCUCUCUCUCUCUCUCUCUCUCUCUCUCUCUCUCUCUCUCUCUCUCUCUCUCUCUCUCUCUCUCUCUCUCUCUCUCUCUCUCUCUCUCUCUCUCCCACAUACACACACACACACUCAGAUAUACAGUUGUUGUUGUAUGGACAGCAUUUUAUUGAUACUUGUUUUUUUAUGAAUAUGUUUGGAUACUUCUUAUAAUUUUCUGUAUGUUU